CCUACGGGGGGCAGCAGUGAGGAAUAUUGGUCAAUGGACGAGAGUCUGAACCAGCCAAGUAGCGUGAAGGAUGACUGCCCUAUGGGUUGUAAACUUCUUUUAUAUGGGAAUAAAAUGUUCCACGUGUGGGAUUUUGUAUGUACCAUAUGAAUAAGGAUCGGCUAACUCCGUGCCAGCAGCCGCGGUAAUACGGAGUAUCCGAGCGUUAUCCGGAUUUAUUGGGUUUAAAGGGAGCGUAGGUGGAUUGUUAAGUCAGUUGUGAAAGUUUGCGGCUCAACCGUAAAAUUGCAGUUGAAACUGGCAGUCUUGAGUACAGUAGAGGUGGGCGGAAUUCGUGGUGUAGCGGUGAAAUGCUUAGAUAUCACGAAGAACUCCGAUUGCGAAGGCAGUUCACUGGACUGCAACUGACACUGAGGCUCGAAAGUGUGGGUAUCAAACAGGAUUAGAUACCCGGGUAGUC
rnacentral:rRNA from 1 species